AGUCAUUGGUCUGUUUGCAGGCCUCUGGCUCCUGCUACACUGUCAAUACUGGAUCCUCACCAGGACUCCUCUUGGAUAUCCUGUUGUUGCCCUGUGUCAUGGAGAUUCUGUGGAUGUUGGGGCACCCAGCAAAUGACUGUGAAUCAGAGAGACUUCCUUCUAGGUUUAUCCCAGGCGUGUUCUGUUGAGAACGGAGCAACUACUGAACCACAGGAAGGUGGCUACUGAUGGAAUCACCAGGGGUGACCGUGGAGAUUGACAAAGAGGACGGGCGAGUAGUUCUGGCUGGAGAGAAUGGUUUCGAAUAAAACCACAGCUCAGGUUUUUGA